GCAAAAGGUCACAGGGCUAGUGCUGCACCUGCAGCCAGGGAGGGCCAGACUGAGUCUUCAAAAAGAGCCCGUGAGCAACGGAUGUUAAUUAGCAUUGAGCCAUAUGUAUCCUUUCACUGAGGGGCAGGUGGGAGGCUCUGUCACUGUCAAGGGCACUAUGCCAAGAACAAGCUUAGAAUUCUUUGUAUCGAUGUGCGGAUGUCCACCAAGUCAAGUGCUGUGCAAAGGUUGUUCGUAAAGAGAACAUCGUCAGAAAUGAAAUAAGAACACCACCAGAAAUGUCUUCUACUCUGUAAUGUGAUGGUCACAAGUCAGGUAACAAGUCAAAGAAAGAUGGAAAGGACUAACGUGCAGCCAAGUCAGCUCACUCUAUAUUCUGCUGCAUCUUACCAACUAGACCUUAGUCACAUGACCAUUAUUAUCUGAAAAAGAAGCGCAGAAUCCAGUUUCUCGCCUUGUUAGAACGCCAUUCCCAUACACAGCAGAAAGUGGGGUUCUCCUCAGGAAGAAAUGAAGAGUGAAUAUGAGAUCAGACCUGCCUGGAUUUGGUAACUAAAGGCCUGUGUUUACUGAUUUCCUGUGUGAUAGCCGAAGACUGACCUCUGCCCCCAAUGAAACUACCACUGGAGACUAGGGUAACCAUCCAGGGGGUUGUGGGAUUUCCUUGGACUCCCUCGUCAGGCUGCCACAACACUAGGUAGCUGCCUUGGGCUUCUAUUGUUCUAUGCAGCAGCAAUCAGCCUCACACUUCACCAUCAUCUUCAUCAUCAUCAUCAUCAGAUUUGGUAAGACAAUUGUGAAUUCUUAAAGGGGAAAAUAGUUUAAAAAGAGAUAGAUAGAUAGAUAGAUAGAUAGAUAGAUAGAUAGAUAGAGUUUUUUCCCAUGUUAAAAAAUGGGAAACACUGUUAUGAUGGAGGGAGUAAGGUCUUUGUACACAAUGGGUGGUUUAAAAAUGGAACAAUUUAAUGAAAGAAUAAUCAACUUAACUGGGAUUGACAUAAUGUUAGUUAUCAUUUUGAUAAUUCUUAUUAUCAAUUUGAUCAUUUAGAGGUUGGUUGAUAUGAGUGCCACAUAUUAACUUAUUAAAACAGAUCAUAGAGAUAUUCAGACUCAAACAGAGGAAUUUAAAGGAGAACCAACUUCAGCAUUACAUUAUAAAAUUAGAGAGGAACAGCCCAGGGUUUUCAAACAAUCAACCUUAAUUUAUCCAGUCACCUCAUAGGAACAACUGCCAGAUGACAGAUAUCUCCAACGCUGUGUAAGAGCUGACUGGAUUCAUGUGGAAAUGUUAGAUUUAAGGAAGCGAUAGUCUCAUAUGGUAUGUAUUCACCUUUUGUGAAGCAGAUGUUAAAUUCAUAGUCAACUAGUAAUAGAAUUGUCCCACAAGACUGGAAAGACUUGGCUAUAGCAGUAUUGGAACCUGGUCCUCAAUUAUAGUAGAGGACCUGGUGGAAAGAUGAGGCUAAGUUGAUUGAACAACAAAGCAGAGCUAGAGGUAUUGAAAUCUUCCAAGACCACCUUCUUGGAGAGGGGAAUUAUGCUAAUGUACAGAAACAGUCUCUAUAUUAUGACCACACCCUGGCUCUACACUAUGCAGCAGCUUUGAAUGCUUGGGACAGAAUUGAAGAAGUUGGAAAGAAAACUGAGUCAUUUACUAAAGUUAUAAAGGGCCCAAAAGAAACCAUCACUGACUUUUUUUUUUUUUUUUACAAAGAUUGACUUUAAUUGUAAAUAGAAUGAUACCAAAUUCAGAAGCUAGACAAAUAAUAAUUGAAUCUUGGGCCUUAAAAAAUGUUAAUUCACAAUACAAAGGGGUAAUUAGGCCUUUAAAAGGCAAGAUCAGUACCCAUAGAGGAAUGGAUCCGAGAUACAGUCAAUAUUGAAUCUCAUAACCAUAAUGCUGCUUGGCUAGGAGAGAUGAUUUCCAGAGGCUUAAAGAAAAAUCAAAAUGUUAGGUGCUUUAAUUGUGGCAAACAAGGUAAUCUGAACAGGGCUUGUAAACAGGGUGUUCCUGCUGCAAGCCGCAAAAAUAUACAAAGUAGGAUUUCAGCUGAUUAUAACAAAGCUAACACCUGGAAGAAGCCAAGGGCCUUCUAGAGGUCAAGCUGAGGCUCAAGGAGCCUUGGUGAUAUUUGGCUUUUGAUUAUCAGUCAUUUUCUGCUAUGAGUUUCUCAUGUGCUAUUGUAGCUUUUCCAUCAUUGAUUGGGUACCUUAUCCCCUCUACUAAAGGAAUGUUUAGAUAACCUUGUGUGCUGACAGCUAUGCACAGCCAGAACCCCAGUUCAGGCCUCCCUGUAAUUAUUGUCAUUGGCAGCAUUUGGCCAGGUCCAUCCCUAAAUGGAGGAAAUUAUCUUAUCAGAUAUACCUCUGUACUCUCUAAGAACAGACUUAAGCAUCCAGACUACCCAUUUGAGAAGGCCUGGCAGAUGUGUCAAUUAAGCUUAACUUCCUCCUUUCCCAAAUCUUACCUCUAGUUCCAGAUCUCCCUUUAACUGUCACCAGAGGCAUCUAGCUGUACACAGGUUGCCUAGCGAUCAAGCAUACUUUGCCCCGUCCUGCAGAAAAAUGGCAGAUAGCUUGGACAGGAAUGAUCCAAACAAAAGGCCCCUUUCUUCUGGAGUAUGCAGAAAGUGUGGUAAAGACUGACAUUGGACCAAUGAAAGCAGAUCAAAAAGGGACAGACAGGAUAACUCUUUGCCAUUAGGGAAUGGCUUUUGGGCCCUCUCACAUGACCCCAUGUAAAAUUUGGUCCAGUCAUUCUCAGUCACCAUGGGGGAAAGUCUUUCCCAGAGCAAUUAAAGGACCUAAUGUCUAUUGUAAAAAACAACAACAACAAACAAACAAAAAAACAUACAGCUCUGGAUGAUAAAACAGCUUUAUAAGAUAAAAGAAAAAUUUAAGGAGAAAUUAUAAAUCAAAAUUGAUGAAGAAUAGAUUUGAACAAGAGAGACCUCUUGAUUAGAAGAGGUGAUAGUUCAUCAACCAGUGUGACCACUCAAUCUAAAGAAACUUUUAAGACUAAGAAAUGCUUUUCAUUUGAUCAGAUAUAACUUGCCAAAAGAGCAACUCCCCAAAGUUAGGGUUGGGACAGGGCUUUGUUUUUGUCUUUCCAGGAAAGUAAAAACAACCAUCUUGAGGAAUUUAAGGACCUUUGGACAGAUAAACAUCCAAAGAAGAAGGGAGAACUACCUGGAACAUAUUACCAAGAAAAGGAAUAAUUUGACCUAAUGAAGUCUCUGAAGUCUCCAAAAAGAUGAUGGAGCCCCACAACAAUAAUUCCACCUGGACUAUGGUAAUGCCACUAAGCUGACAAACACCACCUAAAGAUCAUCUUUGGAUUAUAAACUGCUCAGGACAAUUUCAAGACAUGUAUGCUCCUGGCAACAUCAAUCUACUUUAGAGAAGAUGAUGAGCAUCGAAGAAACUCCAUAUGGAAUUUACUUUCUUUGUGGCAAAAGUUAGCCACUGGGCAAGAAACUGCCCUUGCCUUGACUGCUGACAGUAUGCUGUUCAAAUUGGACAAGCAGGACAUAAAGGAAAGUGACUGCAGAACUUUGCCAAGACAAGGUGGGACAGUCCUUCAAAAUUCCUGCUUCAUAGAUAAGUCUGUCAGAUAUUCUAGGCCUGUAGGCUGAAGAUGGUGCCUUGACAUUGCAGAGGAACCUCGGGUGACUGUCCAAGGUUUCUAUCAUUUCUUAUUUUUGAAAGUUGUUUGCUUUAUACUUCCUGCUUACUCAGAUAAUAUUAUAUCCUUCUUAGAUGGCUGAUGGAGUUGAAGACUAGAUAGUUAUAGUUAUAGUUUUCCUUGUUACCAGACUCAGAAAAGGAACUCACUAAAGAGAUGAAAAGUGUAUAAGGUUGAGAGACAUAAAAAGAAAAUUUUGGGUUGGUAAUGCAAGUUAGGAUAGGAAGUGAAUUAGGUACAACACUUUGGACUCACCAAGAUAGGAUAGCUAAUAGAGUAUUUUCUUUGAAUUUGUCAAGUGCUAAUGGACUAGACAUUGUUAGUGUAAUUACUGCCUGUAUAUAUUUUUAUAUAGUUAUUGUACUUAUUGUAUAUAUUUUUUCUUGGUUAGUUAAAACCUUUACUUUUUAUUUUAGAGAAAAAAGAGGGAAAUGUUGUAUCAUAUUUUGUUUUUGUUCUCACAAAUAGAGAUCAGAAGGCAGAGCUAGCCACUACUUAACCAUAGAGGCCGGGCAGUGGUGGGGUACACCUUUAAUCCCAGCACUUGGGAGGAGUAAGCAGGAUGAUCAGGAGUUCAAUGCCACCCUGGGCUACAUGAGACUGAGUCACUCUAAAAGAGAAAAAGAGCCACAUGGGAGGCUCAAGCCUUUAAUCCCAGAACUAGGGAGGUGGAGACAGGAAUAUAAGGUGGACGGAGAUAGGAUCUCAGUGCCCAUUUGGUCUGAGGCUUCAUAGAGGUAAGAAGUAGCUGCUGCUCAGCUUCUCUGAUCUUUCAGAUUUCACAUUUGAUAUCUGACUCUGGGUUUUUAUUGUUAAGACUAAUUAGGAUCAUGCUUCAGGAUGGAUAUGGACUGGGAGGUGAGUGGGAUGGGGCACAUGAUGUGAAAUUUCCACAGAAUCAAUAAAGAAUUAUGUUUAAAAACAAACAAACAAACAAUGGUAAAACUAACAUAUCUAAAACCUUUUCUCUUUUAUAAACUGAAAAUAUUCAUGUAAGCUUCAAGGAGUUGAAGAAAUCAUAAAAAUUGGCUCCAUCUCUUACAGGUCAAGUGGACUCCAGUUAAGUACUCCUGUCAAUCAACAGCCUAAGUUUCUCCACCUGUCUAUUCUUUCUCUCUCACCUGGUCGUGGGACUCCUCCCCUCCCACAACUACCAGGACUAUGAUCCCGGAAGCUCCAAAUGUAAGAUUUUUCCUUUAAAUUUAUGAACCUUAACAUCUGUCCACAGUCUCUGUCUCUGCAGAUUUCAGUAGACACCAUCCAGAAAUCAGCUGUGGACUACAAACUGCUGCAAACAGCUACAAGCCCUGAAAGCUGAUAGAAAACUUGCUGAAAGCUGGUGUGAACCAGUCCAGCCAAUGUGAUCUCUCCCUGUCUCUUUAGCUUGGUCAAGAAAUCAAAUACUUCUGAUGACUGCCCUAUUGCCUAAAUAUCCUCCCAGCCUUUGGCUAAUGUUUGAGCCUUCCUGGGCCCUGACACACUGCCCUAAUUUCGGUUGAGAAGCAGUUAUAGAAGAGAAUACACCAUCCCUUAUCCUCCACAAAGGCUAGAAUGUUAGACCCAAAGGGAACUCCUAAGCAAAGGGGACAAAAAUGACUGUAUAAGGCUUUUUGGCAUACCUGGCUCCCUCAUUAUUAGGGAGGAACUUGUUAAAAAGUAAAUAACCAAGAUGUAUCAACAAGUAAAUUCACCGGCUGAAAUAGUUCUACAAUAUGGUAGGGCACUCGACCUGCUCUAUGCAGAACAAAAAGGAUGGCUUCAAGAAAAAUUUAUUCCUUCCAUGCUAACCCACCAGACACAAUUAGAGAGACCCUAGCCAUGAUACAAACUUUGUUGCUUGCCAAAUAAAAAUUACUCAGAUACAUUCCCCCCUCUGGCAUUAUCAGCCCAUACAACAGAUAAAAAUAGCCAUUCCCUAUCAAGGAUUUGAAAGGGAUACAUAUGAAAAAAAAGGGGGGGCGUGGUUGGUGGUGAUGCACCAUCCCGAUUCCAACUUCAUAUUAAAAGCUAUCUUAUUGAAAGGUCAAAAUAAGUUCAUUCCCGUUUUCUGUAAAACUUGGGUUUGACCAUGUCGUGAGCUAUUUUUUAGAGUUUGACAUGUUCCACGUCUUAUAGCUGUAAUCUGGGGAGAUGUUUUGCAAAUAAUUUUGAAAUACUGUGCCAAAUUCCUAUGUAACCAAAGACCCUUGAAGAAGACCCUAGCCUGGAAGUUUGGGGACUAACAUAAACUCUUCCUUCUCCUGUGCUAGAGGCUGUUUUCUCAAACUCCAUUUUCCUGUAUGACAGAAAAUAAAGCUUGCUUAAUUCAACUGAAAGAGUUUGGAUAAUGGUCUGUGUUCUCAUUCAGUGAGAUUAAAACCCCCUCACUUCUACUCUCUGCAGUUACCCAACAGAGACUAUGGGUACCAGAAAGGUGACUUUUGGUAACAUUCUGUUUCAUAGCAGAUCAUGUAAAUUGCUGUUAUUUAAAGUUUCCAGAAUUCAACAUAAGGCUAUGCAGGAAGAUUAAUAGCACUGCCCUCGAAGAGUGGCCAGUAAUUUAUCACUUAGAAGUCUGACUUUUCUGCUUAGCGUUACCAGUAGCCUUCACAUCAACUCCUCACGAUCACACCAUAGAGCAGGUUAACUGUUUUAAUUUGAUCACUGACAGACAGGAACCACAGGUAGGAAAAGUGACUCACUUAAGGUCAUGUCAUAGUAAUCUCUGUCCCCAGUCAGCAAGGUGUCUGCACAGUCAUGAUCAGUGUAAAAAAUAUUGUCUGAGGUGAAUGGAGCUUGCCUUUUAGGGAUGAAGCAGAAAUCUGGAAAAGAGUCACAUGUGAAGUUAUAAAUGCAGUCCUUCAAAAAAGAAACAAACAAACAAACAAAAUAAACGCUGUAAUAAAAAAAGGAAAUCUAAUGAGUUCACUGGUGAUGGGUUACUCUUACCUCUUCAUAAUCUAAGUAAUUCCCUUCAAAGGCACCUGAAGAACUCUCCAUAUCAAAUGGAAAUCCAUUGAAGGGUGCCGGAUAGAAAAUAAGCAGAGAUAGGCACUGGGGUUUCUUGGAGAGUUGUUGUGGAAAGUCUUGAGCUUCAUAAGCAGGAACCACCAACAGCUCUCUUUCUUCCCUUCUUGAGCAAUCCACACAAAGUUCCUCAUUCUCUAUAUUCCUGUGUAGCCUUGCUAUUAUGACUCGGUCCUGGUGAUGCAAUUUUUAUACAGAAAUGAGAGGGUUCUUUCUUUCUUUCUUUCUUUCUUUCUUUCUUUCUUUCUUUCUUUCUUUCUUUCUUCCUUUCUUUCUUUCUUUUUGAGAGUUCCUUUUGGCCCUUUUUACAGAUUCUACACUCAUCAGUUCAGUUAGUUAACUGUUUUUCAAGCAUCUCAGAUAUGCCAGGUCUCUGUGUGCUAGAGUACACAGCACGUGAUGAAUGGCAACAUCAGGACAUGAAAGUAGAGCCCUCACACCGAUGAGUGACAGGACAAAAAUGAACUGCUUCUUUGAGAAGGAAAACCCAAGCAGAGGUACAUGACUGAUGCUACUGGAUCAUGUGGUAAGAGGACAGAUGGCCACACAUCCGCACAGCCAGAGGUAAUGCAGAGGCAAGAACGAAGCUGAUGUGGUUGUCAUGUGACCAGGUUGGAGUAUUGAUGGCAUUAUAAUGUGGUUAGUUACUUCUGUGGCAUCUCCGGAAGUAGACUAUUAGAAGUGCUUCUUGUUCAUUUUCUGUUCCUAGUGGCUAGGGCAAGGUCUGGGAUAUACUUGGAGUGAGGAGGAAUCUUUCUAGAGGAUAUCCUAAAGUUCAUGUGGCACCAUAAGUCAGAUAAAUAAAUAAUCUCUUUAUCUAGAGCUCAGAGUGUCUACUAAGAUACUCCGCAUUUUCAGUAUUUACUUUUGCGGUAGGAUUUUGUUAUGUAGUUCAGGCUGAGUCUGAACUUGUGACCCCGCUGUCUCUCCUUCUUGAGUGCUAGGAUUAUAGGUGUGGGCCUCUGAAGCUGGUCUGUUUUUGGUAUUUUUAAAUCUUUCAGCAAUGAGUCUGUGCUGGCUGAGACAAUAUUCUAAAAGCAAUUUUAUUUUCAUUUAUUAAGUAAGUAUAAGGUAUUAAACUCAUUGUACUUAAAUAUACUAUCAAAUACAUCAAUCACAUCAUUUAGAUUUUCUAACAAAAUUGUUGUUGAGGUUAGAUCUUAGUAUUCCUUUGAAUAAAAUAAUCCUGGAAAAAUGAAUCUUUAUGUCCGAUGACAUUUUUAUAGUGGUAUUGUAGAACUGGAUUUUUAAGUAUCGUUGGCAUUGACUACCAUUACAACAAAUUAUAAAAUUAA